AUGCAAGGCUCCGCUCUCGAUGCUGCAGAGACCAGGGGCACAGGGGCAGUGAACGCCUAUUGUCUGGGGUCUGGGGGGCGCCGGGCCCUCCCGGCCUGUGAAGGGGGGGGGACCCCAACCCGGCCAGCUGUGACAAGCGCCUGACAGGUGUGGAUGCCUUCCGAGGUCUUUUUAGGAAGUGGGGCGUCGGGGAGGACGAAUGGAAGCCGGCCGGCCGGCCGCGUGCGGAUGGGCUCGGGAGAAAGUUAGCCGUCAGUCAAGUUUUUCUCUCUUAAUGAAUAGAGACUGCUGAAGUAAGGGUUAGGUAAUUGAGUUUAUAAUUAAUUAGCCAUAACCCUCAUCAGAUAAAGCAGUUGUGAGGAGGUUUUUUCUAUCUCCUUUCUCUCCCCAGGGCCUGCCCUUCUUUGUCCUUGCGCUGACAGCCAGCACUUAUCUCGGGCCGCUGGAGCCCCAGCCGGCAGCCCGCCCCGGCCGGGCCGAGGGCUGGUCAGCCGGGCCGCUUUGUGCAGCGAGGCCAGCAAUCAGCCCAGCUGUCGGGGCCGUGAUGAAUUAGCGGUGGGCGUAGCACAGAGGUGGACCCCCGAUCGCCCGAUAGCGCUCAGGCGGCCGCUCGGUGUCCCCGCUUUGACACCUUCCGACAAAGAGGUUACGGCAGCUAGAGGUGGGGGCGCCGCGCUGCUCCGGAAAGUUGGGCCACUUACAAAAGACCCCUUGAUUUCCAGAGCUGGGCGGUCCGCUCCACAAAGCAGGGAAUCGGUGCGCGUGGACCCGCUUUCCUCGAGGGCCCCUCUUCUCCUUCCUUCUCUCUCCCCCGCUGGUCAGCGUUUCGUGUGUUCAGAGGACAAGUGAUACGUGGUACACGUGCAGGGCAUUGAAAUCAAAGACUGCGUGAAGGGGUCUGUCUCAGCUUCAGUUUGCAGGCUGUACGGGGGGUCACCUCCCCCCUUUUCUGUUUAACGAUGAGAAAUCUUGUGGUGGAGGCACGUUAAGGCAGGAAUUUUUUUAAGGAACAAGGCGUGACGUUCUCUUCCUGCUUCCGAUACUGAAUUCGAAAAAUCCCGGACGUGGGAGGUCAACGGCCUUGUGACUUCGGCUGUUUCUCUGAUUGACCCCCGGGCAGGCACAGAUAAAGCCCUCCGUACCCCAGGGCAGGCGGAGAGGGAAGAUGGGGUCUUUCUUUCCCUCUGCAGUCGUCCGUCUCAGCUGGUCCAGGAGACGAUUUUGUGUGUCUUUGUUAGCAAGGCCAGGCAUCGCUUCCCAGGACCCUCUGGUAGUUAUCUGGGACUCAAAAGCCAGAAGGUUUUACCAAGACCGUAAGACGGAAGGACGGUUUUGAAUGUUAAUGAAAAUAUGAGCAGAGCGAAUAUAUUACUCAGUCUCAUUGAGGGAGCCCAGUAUGAUAAGUGCAUUUACAAGUGCGGAAAUUUGUACAACAAACGAGUUCACUUUUGUGGGGAGUACCGCUGAGCAGGCCACGCGUGGGCUGAUGUGAUAGGAGAGAGGAUGGUGGGUAAUUUGUCUGGGGUUCGGUUGGAGAUAAAUGUCAGCUACUCUCAGAAUGAAUCUGGGAAAUAACCAUAGAAAUGCGUGAUGCGGAGGUCCCGUCGUGGCGCAGUGGUUAACGAAUCCCACCAGGAACCAUGAGGUUGCGGGUUCGGUCCCUGCCCUUGCUCAGUGGGUUAACGAUCCGGCGUUGCCAUGAGCUGCGGUGUAGGUCGCAGACGCGGCUCGGAUCCCGCGUUGCUGUGGCUGUGGUGUAGGCUGGUGGCUACAGCUCCGAUUCGACCCCUAGCCUGGGAACCUCCAUAUGCCGCGGGAGCGGCCCAAAGAAAUAGCAAAAAGACAAAAAAAAAAAAGAAAUGCUUGAUGCUGUGAUUGAGCCGUACCUCAUGACGCCAGUUCCUCCACGAAGCACGUGGGCACGGGGAGUAUGCCAGUUCUGAGCAAGAAGGAAUUCGAUGCACGGGCUCCGAGGAAGACCCAGACCAAGAUGUGGUACCCAGAUUAUUCAGCUGGGAAAAGCGGAGCUGACCCUCCACCCACACAGCCUCCCCGAGCCUCCGGAAUGCCUAAGGUCACUUCCGACAGACCCAGCGUGUCACCCCAGAAAACCCACUUCUGCCACAGCUGAGCCAGCGUAGGCCAGGUCUUGGUCAUGGUCAGCAGAUGGAGAUCAUUGCCUGGGGCAGGACCUCGGCCCGAGGCGGGAUCCGGCGUCACAGGCUGCGGGAACCACAGGGUGCGAGGCUGAGGGCGCGUCCUCCCCCUCCCCUCCCCUCCCCUUCCCCUGAGUGGGAUGCCAGGGCCAUUGUCUAAGUGGCAUCACACAGGCCACUCUGUCACGGUUUUACCUCCCAGCUGGUGAUUCUGCCCUUCUUCACAAAGAGUUGGGGGCCAGCAGGGUCCUCUUUCCGCCCUGGACCAACACGGCUGCAAAGCAUCAGCUGACCCUCUGGCGGCUGACUGAGAGGCGGUCCUUGCCACAGACACUGCACGAGAGGGAGGUAGCCUGGGGCCUAGACCUGAAGGGGACAAGGGGCUUUGAAUCCAGACCAUCUCUGUGCCCGGCCCCCCACUUCUGCCCGGUAGCCACGAUAUAGAGAGGUUUCUUAACCUGUCUGAGCUUUGAUUGUGUCAUCCGUGAAGCUGUGGGUUGUUACCCUGAGGGGGCGAAUGUCUUGGGGUCGGGAUGUCACCACCCUGCUUUACUUAUGAUUUUUUUCAUAUAGAAAUUAAUGGGGGGGAGGCGUUCCCAUCGUGACGCAAUGGAAACAAAUUCGACUAUAACCGUGAGGUUGCAGGUUCGAUCCCUGGCCUUGCCCAAUGCGUUAAGGAUCCAGCGUUGCUGUGAGCUGUGGUGCAGGUCAUAGACUCGGCUCAGAUCUGGCAUUGCUGUGGCGUAGGCCAGCGGCUACAACUCUGAUUAGACCCCUAGCCUGGGAACCUCCACACACCAUGGCUGUGGCCCUAAAAAAGACUGAAAAAAAUUAAUGGAGGAGUUCCUGCUGUGUCACAGUAGGUUAACAGUCCAGCUUGUCUCUGUGGAGGCGCUGGUUCGACCCCUGGCCCAGGGUGAUGGGUCAAGGACCCGGCAUUGCUGCAGCAUAGAGCGAAGCUCCCGCUCGGAUUUAGUCUCUGGCCCAGGAAUUUCCAUAUGUCGCAGGUGCAGUCAAGAAAAAAAUCUUAAAUGCGGACUUCCCUCAGGAUUGGCGGUGUCUCUGCUGCUCCAGGACACAGGUUCCAUCCCUAGCCUGGCAUCCCUUCCUGGGUUGAAGGAUCCAGAGUUGCCAUACUGCGGCUCAAAUCUGAUCGCUGGCCUGGGAUCCAUAUGCCAAGGGGUGGCCAAAAAAAGAAGAAUAAAAAUAAGUUAAUGGAGUCAGUGAUGAGAAAUAUUUCUUUAGUAUUCCUCGGGGUUUUUUAUUUUUAUUUUUUGUUUGUUUGUUUGUUUUGUCUGCGCCCAUGGCAUAUGGAAGUUCCCAGGCCAGGGAUGAUUGACCCCAUGUCACCGCAGUGACAAUGCCAGAUCCUUAACCUGCCACACCGCAAGAGAAUUCCUAGUCUUCCUUGGUUUCGGAGCAGGUAUCCUGAAAAGUUUGGGUCCCAGCAGGUUUAGCUCAUGCCCCCAGGAUAUCGGUCAGCUCUCCCGUUGUGACCCACUCAUCAUGAAAGGAUGCUUUAGAGGGAAAGGUUUCGGUUCUUCUCUCCGUAUUUGUUACUUCUGAAAUGGUAACAUUGAUUAUUUUAAACUAGGAUGACUAAGGGAUCCUUCCCUAAUUUUGUGAAGGGAGAGAAAAGCAGAAAAAGGUUUAAAGGAAGAAAAAAUGCAGGCCUCCUUUGUGAUACUCAGCCAGCAGUGCCCUCGGGCCCGGCACGUAGAAACUGGCCCUGCUGACGCAUGAGCUGCCGUGUGCUGGGCAGCCUGGAACGGAAGGGAAGGUCUGCUCCGUGGGGCUGGGCGGCCGAGCUCUACAGAUGAUGGAGACACGGCUGUGCCCGGGGUUCGGGCUGGUGUGUCAGGCGCUGCGAAGUCACUAGCGUAUUUAUUCAAGAGGAAAUGUCACCGGAACCCCUAAGUUCCCUUUGCUCUCCUUUCUUUAAAUAUCGUCAGCGUUAUCUAGUCAUAGCUACUGAGUCAGUUACAGAUUUAUCAUUGCUCAGACUGAAUUCGAAGCUUAUUUUAUCGUGGAUAUAUUUUGGAAGCUUUUAAAAUUUUUUUCCUUUUUAUGGCUGCACCAGCAGCAUAUGGAAAUUCCUGGGCUAGGGGUUGAAUCAGAGCUGCAGCUGCCGGUCUGCGCCCCAGCCAUAGCAACGUGGGAUCCAAGCCAAGUCUUCAACCUACACUGCAGCUCACGGCAAUGCCAGAUCCUUAACCCAUUGAGGGGGGCCAGGGAUCGAACCUGCGUCCUCGUGGAUGCUAGUCAGGUUCUUAACGAGCUACGACAGGGACUCCCUACUGUUGAAGCUUUUUGAGUCACACUAAAGUAAAAAUGGAGCGAUUCCAGGUUUACCUGUAGAGUGUCUGUCUUCCUUUUGUUAGACUGAACUUUGGGGUUUUGCACUCUAAGGCACACCAGCUCAGCCCUCUUCCUUUUCCCCCACGAUGCUGGGCCGGGAAACCGGGAGUCCUGUUGGUUCCUGGAGGACCAGGUGUCUGUAGGAAGGAGGCCUCCUUGCUGUUCAUGCUGCAAGACACGGGCUUCUUACCCUUUGGUGGGGUUGGGGGGCUCCUCUGGGAGCACAGAGGCUGCUGCAUUCCCGGAGGCCAGUCUUAUCUCCGAAGCACUGAUGACAUGUUGAGUUGUGUCGUGAUCUAGCGUUGCCGCCCCCUUAGCUAUGACCCUCCCCUGUCGCCUGCCCAGGCGUGUGCGAGAAGGUACACCUCACCUGGUGCCAGCCAGGAAGCAGAGGGAUGGCCCCAAACUAUGGCACCAGCGGGCACCUGCUAGCUCUGAACUCUUUGGGUUCAGGCGCUGCAUGUUCCUGGCUCUGCUGCUGAAACUCGGGCCCUCCUGUGUUGGGGCAUCUAAGCCAGCAGUAGCCUCCCGAGAAUGUUCCCAAAUGCUACUCGCUAGUGAGCAGCCCCAGGUGGAGCACCUUCCCGUUAGUACUGACCCGGCCCCCCGGGACUCGGGGAUGCCACGUGCACCAGCAAGGCAGUGACCUUGACCUAGGACACAUGUUGGUCCAGCACACACAGGAGGAAGUGAGAGUGGGGGUGAGUGCCGGACAGCCACCAAUAAAUGUCCCCGCCGGGGCUGUGGUAAACACUUCACUUAUAUGUAGAAAGAGAG
ensembl:lncRNA